UACGUAGGGUGCAAGCGUUAUCCGGAAUUAUUGGGCGUAAAGAGCUCGUAGGCGGUUUGUCGCGUCUGCUGUGAAAACUGGAGGCUCAACCUCCAGCCUGCAGUGGGUACGGGCAGACUAGAGUGCGGUAGGGGAGAUUGGAAUUCCUGGUGUAGCGGUGGAAUGCGCAGAUAUCAGGAGGAACACCGAUGGCGAAGGCAGAUCUCUGGGCCGUAACUGACGCUGGAGGAGACGAAAGCAUGGGGAGCGAACAGG
rnacentral:rRNA from 1 species